CACAUAGUUCUUCUUGGAAUGUUAUUCUCUGGUUCCAGGAUUUUAUUUGUGCGUAAAUCGAUAUCCUUUCUGCUUGAACCUUCUCCUUUCAAUGGGGAUGUGUUCCAAUGUUUACUGGAUCACAAUUUUUCUUCUUUCAACAUUUUAAAUUUUUAUUUAUCAUACACUUGGAUUCUUAUUUGCUACUAUGAUUUUAAUUUUUUUUUUCUUUGAGGUUUCAUAUAUCAGCUGCUAUUAAAUCAUCUUGAAGUUUCUUGAUAGGCGGACUUUUGUUCGGGGAACCAAAUAUUUGGACACCAAUUUCUAACCCAGAUUAAAAAAAGGUGAAAAAAGUACAAAUUUUCGAACAAGGUUGGCCGAGAGUUAAAGGUGAUCCCUGAGAAAAGAUUAGCUCUCGGUAAAGGAGAAUAAUUUUGAAACAAAUUGUUUCCCAAUCUCAAUUAUUCCUUCGAAUUUGUAUUUGUAAUAUUGGUUUUUUUUUGUCCAACAAAUACAAACGGAAGUGCCAGUUGUGGAGCAAGAUGUGCCAAUAUUUUGAAAUUAUUAGGGGGUUUACUAAUCUGGCCAUGAUUGUUUCUUUCUGGUGGAAUUGUUUAUUUCCAG
rnacentral:lncRNA from 1 species